GUGGGGAAUAUUGGACAAUGGGGGCAACCCUGAUCCAGCCAUGCCGCGUGCGGGAAGAAGGCCUUCGGGUUGUAAACCGCUUUUGUCAGGGAAGAAAUCCUUUGGGUUAAUACCUCGGAGGGAUGACGGUACCUGAAGAAUAAGCACCGGCUAACUACGUGCCAGCAGCCGCGGUAAUACGUAGGGUGCGAGCGUUAAUCGGAAUUACUGGGCGUAAAGCGUGCGCAGGCGGUUUUGUAAGAUCGAUGUGAAAUCCCCGGGCUCAACCUGGGAACUGCAUUGGGGACUGCAAGGCUGGAGUGCGGCAGAGGGGGAUGGAAUUCCGCGUGUAGCAGUGAAAUGCGUAGAUAUGCGGAGGAACACCGAUGGCGAAGGCAAUCCCCUGGGCCUGCACUGACGCUCAUGCACGAAAGCGUGGGGAGCAAACAGGAUUAGAAACCCCUGUAGUCC
rnacentral:rRNA from 1 species